GUGAAAUGAUGAUUCAGUUUAUCCAUUCGCUGAGUGCGCUACGCUGACCUUCUUCCAGGUCUCAGUUCCUGUUCUGGGAACUUAGGCUAUGUAGCCUCCAAAUGCCCUGCGGUCUUGCUGUGUUCUACAGUGGACAGCUUGUGUGUUGGUAGACUACUGGUAAGAAUGGUUGGUGUCAGCAGAGAUGGGUCCCUCUGGGUCCCAUCUCACCGAGAUGAGUGGUGGAAAUCUGAUCAC
ensembl:snoRNA SNORD17 small nucleolar RNA SNORD17